CAUAAUCGACACCAGGCCUUUAUGAAAAUCCUUGUGCAACAAAGCGUGCCUUAUAUCUUUGUACCUCGUUUUUCUCAUUUCUUUUGCGUACAAAGACCCAUGUAUAUCUAACAGGCUUAACACCAUUAGGUGUUUAAAUUUUCUCAUUUCUUUUGCGUACAAAGACCCAUGUAUAUCUAACAGGCUUAACACCAUUAGGUGUUUGAAUUAUAGGCCCAAAAACUUCACGUUUUGCAAGUGAAUUCAAUUCUGAUUGGAUUGCUUCUUGCCAUUUUGGCCAAUC
rnacentral:lncRNA from 1 species